UACAUGAACGUUCUAACUCAACCGCAACGAAAGUCAAAUACGGAGUCAGCACAAGAAUAUAAACUAAAUACAAAGAACAGAAAACUACAAAAAAAUGAGCGAAAAAGCAGGUUGCUUCGAGAGGAUUGGUGGUACCUAGCAAGGGACGAUGUCUUGAGCUGGCGCAGGACUCUGCCCUUAGUUAGCUUUUUGGUUGAAAAAACAACCUGCCAUCCAACGCCAGUUCCCAUCCGCCAGCGCGCUACAGAGGACCAGUUUGUUACGCAGCUGCCGUGAGGAUGAGAGCAGAGAUGGCUCUCGAAACGUUGGCAGAGGAUAUGGUGUAUUCACCGUUCAGCCACCUGACGCGGCUCGUAGCCCGAGAGUUUUUCAUCAGCUCAAAGAUGCCUCGACAAUAAUGGUAGCCAUUUCGAGGCACAAAUGUUAGUAAAUUCAGAAUUUGGUAAUAUGUAAUCCAGAAAACUAAACUAUAAUGAAAUUACAAACAUUAAAAAUGCAAGAGUAUGAUAUUUCUGAUUUUCUUGACAAACCGUUGCUGGUCGUACCAUGUUAAUUAGAACUUUUCUACUCAAAAUGAUCCCAGGAUUACGUAGUUAUCUAUGGACACCCUGUUUUGGAACAGCCUAUAUACAAAUAUAGUUAAAAAAAUUAAAAAUAUGUAGAGAGAAUUUUUCAGAAUAUUGAUAGAAGGGGUAGAGUUAAAAGUGGUUUGCAUAGGUUUCCGUAAUAAAUUGCGGCCCCACAUUAAUUUUCAGCUUCAAUUUAGGAAAUUGAUUGUUCACGCCUUCUAAUUUGGGGAUAUAUUUCCAACAAUGCUUUUCUCUGAUUAUUUUACCAAUAAAUAUACUUACUUAAUCA